CAGAACGUGGCGAAGUCUGGUUAUCGCACCUGGUCGGGGGCCAGGGGAUCGCAGGUUCAAAUCCUGCCGUUCUGA
rnacentral:tRNA from 1 species